AUAGUCUGUAUUUUUAUCACUGAUAUAAUCCUGUAAUAAGGUCAGGAGUUUCUACAAGCCACCGUAAAUGGCUUAUUAUUAGGAGGAGUAAUGGAAAA
rnacentral:ncRNA from 2 species